AGUUCAGGUCUUCCCACUUCAUCAUUCCUUCUCACAUACAUGCGGUUAGCGUCAGAGAGACUUACCAGGUUGCCACUGCUCUAUGUGAAACCCACAAGACACCUGACUACCAGAAAAUCCCAGGUCUUCCUAUGCAGCCUUGCUCUUCAAUACUUCCAGCUCCUGGAAUCUAACUAUACAGACUUUUGACCUUACAACAGGACAUUAUCAUCUACAGAGUUCACACUGGAGAAGCACACAAUAGAGCCAUAGAAAAAGAAACCACACACAAAGAGUCUCAUCCUGUUUUAGGUAAGUUUAUAAUUCUGAGUUAAAUGUUAUCUUUGGCCAUCCUGGGACACUUGUACCACAGGCUAGACAUACCUGUAUCUACCCUAUCACUGUGCUACAAGCAGGUCUAAUACUUAUGUUGACCUCAUCCAAACUCCAUAACACACAACACCUAUGAUGUCUUCUACCAGAAGAACAGAGACAGCAGGGUGAGAAUAAUCGCAAUAGGCAAUAAUGUCCAUGUGACUGCCACAACCCUAAGAGCUGAACAUGUAUCACCUAAUUUAAUGCUUGCCUCACAGAUAGAAACUGCUGUCUAACCUCCAUAUGAAUAUGAGGAUAUAAACAUGCACAGCUUUAAUGACUUGUCUCAGGCCAUAGAACUGGUAAGUAGAGGAAUCGGGGUUCAAACCCAGACCACUGGAUUACAUAGUCCCUACUCCUGAUGUCACCUUGAUGUCACAAUUCACAUUGUGUUCUUGGACUGGCCCUUAACCUUAUUGGCUUACACUCUUUGAAAACAUCUUGACAUUAACAUUGAACCCAUGGCCGUGUGCACUGAAUCCACUAAGAGAAGAGCCCAGCAUGCAGGAGGUACACGUGCGUCUUUUGCUUCCUUGGAUGGCUCUCACAUUCUCUCAGUCCCCCUUGGUACCUGUGUGACACCAAUUUUUCAGACAGUGGGCUUUCACUGUCCUGGGUGUCUCCUCUCUUUUUGCCUGCUGUGUCCCUUCUUGUUUAUGAUCUGCUUCCCUAUUCUCCAUCACUCACUUGCGGUCUCUCCAACUCAUCCUUGCUUCAUAAGGCAAGAGGCAGUACACAUCACCUGUGGUGGAACGGCCUCUCUGAGCAACAGGAGCGCGCACGAAACCUCAUUGCCUUCUCUGCUUCGGUAGAGGGAAGCAAGGCCUGAAGCACAGCCUGACACAAUCUAGUUCUGAUCCAGAGAGACUCACCUGGAGCACAGAAGCUCAGAGUCCAAGAGCCCACAAUCAUGGCAUGAAAGUAUUCACCCCCUACCUAAAGCUGAGGUCUCAGAGGGACAGGAGGAGGAGGAGUGGGAGAGCCUUGUUACUAUUCCUUAAUACCAUGAGGAACCAUCAACCAGACAAGCAGCACCAGGUAAGAUUUGGAGUGCACAUCUCCUCCAAGGAGGAGGCUGAGAUUCAGAAAGUAAUUGGCCAAAAAGAAGAAGGCAGGGACAUGUCUUGAUUGGAACUGUGCCCGAAGAUGCAGCACAACUGUGAACGCUUCUGUCCUCUGGGCUGUGCUGCUCUGGCAUGGUCCAGCUGCUCACCUGGGAAAGACAAGCGUGUGUGCCCUCUGCCCAGAAUGUGCCUAGCCAUUCAGGAUCUGGCUUAUUUCUCUGCACACACAGAGCCAUUUCUGGGUUUAAAACAGUCUCCUCAUGAGAAAGACACAAUGAUCACUAAAUAGUCAGUUCGGGGGAGAUCACCCAUAGUCUAAGAACCUUGGCUUCAUUUGAAAAGAAACUAACAACAGCAACAACAAAAAAUAACAGGCUGCUAUUCUCCUCUAAAGAGAUAAAAAAACAACGAUUUAUUUAAAAAAACAAACAAACAAACAAUGAUUAAUAGACAAGAUUCCAGGAAUGUCACUAUUGUGUACGUGGGGGUUACCCUUGCCCAGAGGCUGAGCCUUACAGGCAGGGUCCCUUGUUCAGUCAGAGAGCCGACGAGCCAGAUUGAGUUAUUCAUUAACUUCCUGUAUGAAAACCGAAUAAUAAAACUGAAGUGUGUUAAA